rnacentral:rRNA from 1 species
GCAAGUCAGGGCUCCGGCCCGGCGCACGGGUGAGUAACGCGUAGAUAAUCUGCCCAUAUCUCUGUGAUAACAUCGGGAAACUGUAAUAAGCACAGAUGAGGCCUUCGGGAAAAAGGUAACGGAUAUGGAUGAGUCUGCGUCUGAUUAGAUAGUUGGUGGGGUAACGGCCUACCAAGGCAACGAUCAGUAGCGGGUCUGAGAGGAUGAGC